CGAUGAAUUCUUCUCCUCCGCCUUCGCCUUUGCACUCGCUGCUUUCCCUGAGGUUGGGCUGGGAGCGACAUCAGAGGCCUUGGCAUCUGGUGCAGGAGCAGGGGCUGGAGCAAGCGGGGGGUCGCUCUUGAAGAUUUGCAUUGGCAGGAGAACCUUGUUGACCUCAUACACUGCAACCGGGCGGGUUGAGUACACACUGCUGCUGAUCUUUGGGUUGGACCACAUCGACUUCACUUGGACGGUGCCCAUGUCGUAAGUAAUGUUCAGCGUGUACUGUGAGCCAGCGAAGGUGGUCACCGGAUUGAGGGUGCUCAGCUUGUUGAACUCAGCCAAGGAGUAGUACUUGGGGAAUGCGUGGUAUAGGAUCAGGGACUUGAGCUGGUCCUGGGUGAGGUUGGCGAAUGUAGUCUUCUUGAGUGCGGCGAAUGCAGAAUCCUUGGGAACAAAGACAGUGAUGCCCUCUUUGGUGUUGUUUGCCUGGUUUUGAAAGGUUUCGAUGACAUUGGUCUUUUGCAGGUAGUCCAAGAAGGUGUGGAAUGGACCGGCCACACUGAGGAGGUCUGCGAGGUCGACAUGGUGUGGCGCCGGUGCCGGUGCCGGGGAAGGUGGAAGGAUUGGGGAUGCUGGAGCAGGAGGACUCUUGGCCUUCUGAGCAAUUGCUGGUG
rnacentral:lncRNA from 1 species